CAAACCCGUCUCGCCAACCCGUCC
rnacentral:siRNA from 1 species